rnacentral:rRNA from 1 species
ACAGGGAUUCCCCUAGUAACGGCGAGUGAAGCGGGAACAGCUCAAAUUUGAAAUCUGGCCUUCGGGUCCGAAUUGUAAUUUGCAGAGGAUGCUUUUGGUUAGGUACUUUCCGAGUUCCCUGGAACGGGACGCCUUAGAGGGUGAGAGCCCCGUACGGUUGGAUACCGAGCCUUUGUAAAGCUCCUUCGACGAGUCGAGUAGUUUGGGAAUGCUGCUCUAAAUGGGAGGUAAAUUUCUUCUAAAGCUAAAUACCGGCCAGAGACCGAUAGCGCACAAGUAGAGUGAUCGAAAGAUGAAAAGCACUUUGAAAAGAGGGUUAAAUAGCACGUGAAAUUGUUGAAAGGGAAGCGUUUAUGACCAGACUUUUUCCAGGCGGAUCAUCCGGUGUUCUCACCGGUGCACUUCGUCUGGUUGAGGCCAGCAUCGGUUUUCGUAGAGGGAUAAAAGCAGUAGGAAUGUGAUUCCUCCGGGAAUGUUAUAGCCUAUUGUAUAAUACCUUUAUGGGGACCGAGGUUCGCGCUCUGCAAGGAUGCUGGCGUAAUGGUCAUCAACGACCCGUCUUGAAACACGGACCAAGGAGUCGAACAUUUGUGCGAGUGUUUGGGUGUUAAACCCUCACGCGUAAUGAAAGUGAACGGAGGUGAGAGCCCUUACGGGUGCAUCAUCGACCGAUCCUGAUGUUUUCGGAUGGAUUUGAGUAAGAGCAUAACUGUUCGGACCCGAAAGAUGGUGAACUAUGCGUGGAUAGGGUGAAGCCAGAGGAAACUCUGGUGGAGGCUCGCAGCGGUUCUGACGUGCAAAUCGAUCGUCAAAUCUGCGCAUGGGGGCGAAAGACUAAUCGAACCAUCUAGUAGCUGGUUACCGCCGAAGUUUCCCUCAGGAUAGCAGUGUUGUCUUCAGUUUUAUGAGGUAAAGCGAAUGAUUAGGGACUCGGGGGCGCUUUUUAGCCUUCAUCCAUUCUCAAACUUUAAA